AACAUUCAGCCUUUGAUUUGAAAUAGCUGCAGAGUCCUGCGCUUUCCUUGCCGGCUUGGCGGCUUGGCGGCUGAGUGGCCCACCAGCCAGUAGGGGGCGCACUGUCCGCCGUGGUCCCUCCAAUUGCCCGCUUCCGCUAACGGAAGCCUGGAGAGCUGGAUCCUGCGGGAUGGCAGUGCGCUCAGGUCCUGCUCUGGUCGCUACCUGCGCUGCCCGGGGCACUGCAUCCACUCGCCCGGCCUCACGCUCCGCCCUUCGCCGGCAGGUGUGCAAAGCCUGACCGGCCGAGGCUGCCAUUUCCGCGGCCUGCGACCCGCCGCCCGCGGCAGCUCGAAGCUGGUGGCUGAACCAGAACUUCGGGCGCCUCUUUCCCGCUAGGACGCUGCCUGCACCGCGUGCCAGGGCGGCGGGCAGGUGUCCUCCGGGAGGAGCCUCUGGGACCCGCGGCGGGCAGGGAUGGCGUGCAGCAACCCGUGUCUUUCUUACCUUUGUCCCUGUGGUGUCCGCUGAUGGGGACUGGGUGCCGCGGCCCACCCAGGCCGGCCUGCCGCCCGGAGCGCCCUGGAGCUGGGUAGGAGCGGCGGUUGAGCGCGUGAGUGGAUCUGCACCCACCUGUCCGCUGGCGCGGGGUGGGGGCCAGGUGAGUGGUCAGUGAGCAUGCGUGGGCUUCAGGUGGUGCGGAGGGAACACCGCGGACUGUGCCAGUUGUGCCUCCAGGCAGGAGCACCAAAGUAUGAACAACAGGCCUUGCUUGGGUGCCUUGAGGUUGAUUUCUGUCUGUGUCAGGUCCCUGCUUUGGAAGCUUUCCCUAAGGAUGACCACUCACUCUGAAAGCUCCUUUUUCCACUUCUUCCUUUUGUACUUAGGCAAACACUUUGUCAUAUGCCAUGCUCUGUGAUUUGUGUUUCUAAGUUUGAUUAUUCACUUUCUAUAGAUCAAUUAUGAAUCUCUCCAAUUAGGACUUUAAUAUUUGUUUUUCUCAAAACUCUGUUUUUGACCUACAAGCAACUAAAAACUUAGCAUUUAAUGCAUACCUUUUUCUUCAUUAAUUCAGCUAAGAAAUAUGUAUGGAACACCCACUGUGUGCAUUGUGCUGGGCACUAUACUAGACACCCUCCAUGCAUAUUUGAUUAAGGCAUAGGCCUUUGCAUCACAUGUCCUUUCAAUUUGGUGGAAAAGUGAAGAGAAUCAAUUGCUCAUUAUCUUUCUUGCUUGGCAUAAUGUCAGUCAAUACUCUCAAAUCUCACUUUUGUUCAAGGAUUCUGAUUCUUGCAAGAAUAUUUUGUGAUCUGAUAAAAUUCAAAGGAUUAUAUGGCUGAAGCUGACAGAAAGCUACAACAAGAGGGUGCCUAAGUCCUUGGGACACCUAAAGAGGAAGUUCUCAGAUCUUCACCAUAGCCAGCAGGAGGUCAUUCAAAGCAAUAAUAUGUCUGGGCCCAAGGCAACCAGAGCUCCCAGUCUGAAUUCUCUCCUAGCCCAAUUCAUCUCCCAGCUUGAACCUUGACCACAAAUAUGGAGUGUGAUAGGACAUGGUUUAGAUACUGGCUGGACUCUGCCUCACUCACAGUCAGCAGAGGGAGUCAGCACCCGCCAUUCAAAACCUGGGGCAGUGGAACUAGAACAGUAUGAACUGGCUGAGUUCCAUUCUCCAGGAGUAAUGACAGUAACCUCAAUGAGUUGCACAGGCCAGGGGAACAUUUGUGCAACAAAGAUCACAUGCAGAGAAUCUGCAACCCCAGGACUUGUGCUUAUUGAAGCCACCAGAAUCUAUACCACCAAGAAAAGGACACUGUAGAGGGGACUCUCCACAAUCUCAGCCACAGCCCAGAGCCUUCAUCCAGAACUUCUUCACACAAUAGAAACACACAACAGACACAAUACCACACCCUCCAAGCACUUAGCCACAGGCCCCUGAGCUGACAAACCAGAACCAACCAGUUGAUGGAAGGUCCAUUGCAACUAGGAGAGUGGCUCCUGUGUCCCAGCAUCUCUGGAAAGAUUCAAGGGCAAAGAAUGACAGACACCUUCAAAAUGCCCCAAAUCGUAAUGAAACUCAUCUUGGCAUGGUUUUCUAUAAGUAACUUUAAUGUCAACCUUAAUGAUAUAUAAAACUCUAUCUUGACUGCUAGUUCUUACCCUAAUAGCCAACAUUGUACCUUCAACCCACAUAAAUACUUUUUCCUAACAGUUUAAAAUAUCAUUUGGGGGCUGGGGAUGUGGCUCAAGCGGUAGCGCGCUCGCCAGGAAUGCGUGCGGCCCGGGUUCGAUCCUCAGCACCACAUACAAACAAAGAUGUUGUGUCCACCGAAAACUGAAAAAUAAAUAUUGAAAUUCUCUCUCUCUCUCUCCUUAAAAAAAAAUAAAAAUAAAAAAAAAAUUUAACAAAUAUAUCAUUUGGAAUCAUUCUUCCUAUCCCUAGUUUACACUUGUUCCUCUUAUCCCCUAUUCUUCCUUUCACACUGUCUACCACUACCUCAACUAGGAUCCACAUUUUUUACCUUUUUAAUUCAGUCUUAGCAUUCUAUUCUUUUUCUCACUCUUUUGCCCAAUCUUCUUCCCCUUUUCAGCCUUAAUAUAAUAUUAUAGCAGUUUUACUCUAUUCGUAACUAAUUCUUCAGCCUGUUCCAGUUAUAAACUUAUGAAAAGUUUAUACUAAAUUAGAGCAAUUGUGUAGAACAAUAUCAACAAGUUUUUCACUUUUCAUAAGGUUGUAUAUGUGCUUUGACUCUGAAGUCAUUAUAGAAAAUAGGCUUCAGUGACAUCUCUCAAAGUGGAUCUGAUCCUGGAAUCAAUAGAGGCCACACAUUGAGCUAAACUAUUAAUACCUGGAUAUUCUUCCAACACCAGGGCUUAUAAAACAAUAAAGCUAACAAAGUAGGCAUUUGCUUAUAAAAAGAAGCAAUAACCAUCCUAUUAUAUGGGGAGAUAUACAAGCAAUAUGAAAAAGCAAGAGAACAAACCACCUCACAACUCAGAACACUUCAACAACUGACCCCAUUAACACCACAGAGGAAGAUAUGUCAAAAAAUAAUUUAGAAAGUUCACAGUUAAAAUGUUCAUGAGAUAAAAGAGUGAAAGAGAAAAUAAAUAGGAAGUAAAGAUCACUUCAAUAAAGAAAUGAAGAUUCUGUAAGAGAACCAAAUGGAAAUCCUGGAAAUAAAAAUCUACUAAAUCCAAUUGAAAAUUCAGUGGAAAAAAGAAUCACCAAUAGAUUAGGCCAUUUUGAAAAUAGAUUUUCAGUCCUUGAAGACAAAGAACAUAACCUCAAAAAUAAAACUGACCAUAAGGAAGAAAUGUUAAGAGACCAUAACCAGAAUAUGCUGGGAAAACAUCAAGAUAUUAAAUUUACGAAACACUGGGGUAGAUGAAAGUUCUGAAAUACAAACUAAAAGUAUGCACAAUCUUUUCAAUGAAAUAUUAGAAAAUUUUCCAAACAUUAAGAAUAAGAAGGACAUUCAAAUAUAAGAGGCAUAUAGGACACCAAAUAUACAAAAUCACAAUAGAUCCACUCCAACAAAUUAUUAUGAAAAUGUCUAACAUAGAGAAUAAGGAUAGCAUUUUAAAAUUUUCAAGAGAUAAAUAGAUUGUCACAUUUACAGGAAAACCAAUUCAAAUUUCAACUGAUUUCUCCACCCAAAACUAAAAGGCAGAGGGCAUGCAAUAAUAUAUACCACACUCUGAAAGAAAAUCAGUUUUAACCAGGAUUACUAUAUCCAGAAAAAUUAAGUUUCAGAAUUGAAGAUGAAAUAAAAACCUUCCAUGACAAACAGAAGCUAAAAGAAUUCAGAAUCACAAAACCUAUAUUACAAAACAUACUCAAUUAAAUAUUUCAUGAAGAAGAAAUGAAAAAUAAAAAUGAAAACCAGCAUAGGGAUGCAUUACAGUAGAAGGAGAGUCCAUUAAAGGAGCAUCAAGUCCAAUUUAAACAUUAAAAAUACAUCAAAAUGGCACUGAAAUAAAGUAUGUCACUCUAUAAUAACAUUGAAUGUGAAUGGACUCUUCAAUCAAAAGAUAUAGGUUGGAGGGGGUUAUGAUGCCAGAGUAGAGAAGGUUGCUUUCCUAGCUGCUCCGUGGAAUGAAACCAAGAAAGCAGACAGGCAGCUUCUCAUCAAGGAGGCCUGAGGCGUGUCUGGGUAUGGAGAGUUAGAGAUCAAAGACACUGCCCGUCUAAACUGAAAGGCAUGCUGCAAAAUAUUCUUUUGCAGGGAAGGUGAGGAGAGGACAGAGGAAAGAACCAUAUUGCAGCUGUGGUAUGGGGGCUGGCAGAUCCCUGGGGAGCAGAUCCCUGGCAAACCCAAGUUUGGCCUGAAAUACAGACCUGGCAAACCCACACAGCACAAUAUAGAGUGUUCCUAAGUGACCAGGAGAAAAACAAACCUGGAGAGAGGAUUACACAGGGUUAACACAGAGGCUUACACUGGUCAUGGAAACCCACCUGGCUCUCACCCUUCCCCUCCAAAGCUUGCAGGACCAGCUGGGAGAGGAAUUCAAAAGGGUGGGGGGCAGGCAAGAUUGAGUUUGGAGACUGAACCAGAGAUCAGGAAAGGUGGAGUCCACAGGUGAUGUAGUGGACUAUGAAUUGACUCCUCCAACCUAUGAGUAGAACCCAGGGGAAGUCCCUGGUGUACAGUCUUCCAUCAGGGACCCCGGCAACUGCUGGGCCAUCUCCAGAACAACUGGCAUUCAGCAAAGAGCCCAUCAAAGCCUAAACCCCAUUUCCAGGAAUUCUGCCGAAGAGAUUACCUCACUCACUCCAGCAUCUGGAGGGUGGAGCAUCAUGCUCCAGCUGACCCCAUCUAAUUAUGCUGAGAAGAUGAACAUCUUUUGAAAUCCAAUGAAAACAAUUUUUUAACUUUUCAUAAAACUUUUUUUCUCACUUUUUUUUUUCUUUUCUCUGUUUAAUUGUGACCUUAAUGAUUCAUGGACAUUUAUACACACUCAUAUUUGGGGGGUUUUCCCCCUCAUUUCUAGCAUUUUUGAAGCCAGUUAUUUUUCAUGGAUUACUUUUUGAUGUUUGAUUGAUAUCUUUCCGUUUUGUUUUGUGUUCUUUUAUUUUUAAUAUUUUUUUAAAAAUUUUACUUUAUAUGUAUAUUUUUCCUCUCACCCUUCUGUAUUGCUUAAUUCUAUUUCUCUCUUUUCUUCAAAUAAGAGCCAAUCUCUAUUGUUCUCUCUUUCACUCUUCAAUUUUUUGCUUCUAUCUGCUUUUAUCUUCUCUCAUAAGCAGCACUUCUAUUCUCUCCCUGUUCAUCAUCCAAAAUUGUAAACUCUUUUGUCAACUUACCAUUUUUAUUGUAGGCAAUAACUUAUGUCAAUUCUGUUUAUUGUGACAAUUAGCAUUGUAGUUGUCACAGCAGGAACUAUUUGGUUUAAUGCUGUAUAUUGAUUGUAAUGAUUGUUGUUAUUAUUUGUCUCCCCCAAAAUUGUGAGAUACUGGAAACAGGGAAACUAUAAAUCUAGAUGGUAGAAGCUCUUCUGCCUCAGAUCCAUACUGGUAGAAGGUAGACACACUAACAACAUGAAAAAGCAAGGUAACAAAUUGCCCCAAACAAAACAAGAUACUCAAAUAACAGAAUCCAUCAACACCACAGUGGAAGAAAUGUCAGAGAAGAAGUUCAAAAUGUACAUAUUUAAACUGAUCUUCAAGGUAAAGAACAAUAUAAAGAGUAAAAUCAGACAGAAAUAUAGAGUAAGUGAAAGAUCACUUCAAGAGACAGAGAUUCUGAAAAGAAAUCAGGCAGGAAUCCUCAAAAUAUAGGAAUCAAUAAAUAAAAAUUCAAUUAAAAGCAUCAACAACAGACUAGGUCACUUGCAAGACAGUUUUAGGCAAUGAAGACAAAAUAUAUAAUCUUGAGAACAAAGUUGACCAUGGAAAAAAGAUGCUAAGAGACCAUGAACAGAACUUCUAAGAAAUAUGGGACAACAUGAAAAAACAAAUUUAAGAUUUACUGGGAUAAGUGAAGGUGCAGAGAUAUAAACCAAAUAAAUACAUAUUUUUUUCAAUGAAAUAAUAUCAGAAAAUUUCACAAACCUGAAGAAUAAAAUGGAAAAUCAAAUACAGAAGGCUUACAUGACCCCAAAACCACAAAAUUAUAACAGACACACAUCAAGGCACAUUAUUAUGAAAAUGCCUACCAUAGAGAAAAAGGAUCAAAUUUUAAAGGUUACCAGAAAAUAAUUACAGAUAAUAGUCAUAGGGAAAUCAAUCUGGAUCUGAGCUGAUUUCUCAACCCACACCCUCAAAGCUAGGAGGUCUUGGGAUAACAUAUACCAAGCUCUGAAAGAAAAUGGAUGCCAGCCAGGAAUACUGUGCCCAGCAAAUUUAAGCUACAGAAUUGAUGAUGAAAAAAAAAAAAAACUUUCAUGAAUAAAAAAAGUUUAAAAAAAAUCACAACUAGAAAGCCUGCACUACAAAAGAUACUCAGUGAAAUAUUUCAUAAAGAAGGAAUGAUAAAUAAAAGUGAAAAACAGCAAAGGGAGAAACUAUACUAGAAGAAUAGCCAAUCAGUUUUAAUUCAAAUUAAAACCAUAAAUAAAUCAAAAUGACAGGGAAUAAAAAUAAUUUCUCAAUAAUAACACUGAAUAUAAAUGGCCUAAACUCAUCAAUCAAAAGACAUAGAAUAGCAGAUUGGAUUAAGAACAGCCCAACAAUAUGCUGUCUUCAAGAGACUCACCUCAUAGGCAAACACAUCCACAGACUGAAGGUAAAAGGAUGGGGGAAAAAAAUACAUCAUUAACACGGAUUUUGUAAACAAGCAGAGGUUUCUAUCUUCAUAUCAGAUAAACUGGACUUCAAAUCAAAGAUAAUCAUAAGGGACAAAGAAGGACAUUCAUACUGCUUAAGGGAAUUAUAUAUCAAUAAGACAUAACAAUAAUAAAUAUUUAUGCUCCAAACAAUGGAGCAUCUACAUACAUCAAACAAAUCCUCAAUUUCAAGAAUCAAAUAGACCACAACUCAAUAAUAGUGGGUGACUUUAACACACCUCUAUCACCACUGUAUAGAUUCUCCAAUCAAUCAAAAACUAAAUAAAGAUGCUAUUGAACUAAAAAAUACAAUUGAUAAUUUGAACUUAACAGACAUAUAUAGAAUAUUUCACCCAUAAAUGACUGAAUACACUUUCUUCUCAGCAACACAUGGAUCCUUCUCUAAAAUAGACCAUAUAUUAGGCCACAAAGAAAAUCUUAGCAAAUAUAAGAAAAUAGAGAUAAUACCUUGAAUUCUAUCAGAUCAUAAUGGAAUGAAAUUAGAAAUCCAUGAUAAAAUAAAAAAUAUAAGCUACUCUAACACCUUGAGACUAAAUAAUAUACUAUUGAAUGAUGAAUGGAUAGCAGAAGAAAUCGGGAAUGAAAUAACUAAAAUACUUAGAGGUAAAUGAGAACAGUAAUACAACAUAUCAAAAUUGCUGAGACACUAUGAAGACAGGUAUAACAGGAAAGUUCAUUGCAUUGAGCUCAUUCACUGAAACAAUAGAAAGUCACCAAAAAAUAACCUAACAUUACAUCUCAAAGCCCAAGAAAAUGAAGAACAAAUCAACAUCAAAAGCAGUAGAAGGAAGUUCUGGAGGGAGAGCCCGCCCAUCCCACGCCACUGUGUCCCGAAGUCUGGAACAGAGCCACUCCACGCUGGGGUUCCUUAUUCUAAAGCAUGGCUCCACAGCCCAACAUCAAGGUACAUAUAGGCUUGAGGCUGCCACCACCACAAAACUGGAAUAGCAUCACUUCUAGCAAGGAACAAUAAUAAGGACCUGGUAAGACAUCAUCAAGGUCCCUGUGGGCCUGGAUGCACCAGAAGUUUCCCUACUAGGGGUGCUAACAGAAAUCCUGUUGCUGAGGUAACAGAGUCUUGCAUGGGGUUAUCUGCAAAUUUGUGUAAUCCAAAAAAAUUAAAUGGUCUUUGGGCAUUAUCAACCAUCAGCCCUGAGGAGCCAAAAAGAUUAUGAUAAAUUUCCCCUUUACCAUAUGUUACAUUUAAAUAAUUAUUUAAAUCUUUUCCUCUGCAAUUCCAACCUCUCCCAAAGUGAUUCAAAGAAGGAGUUUCAUUUGUUAUGAAGCAUUUUUUAAAAUCUCUAAACAAUAAAAUUAAGACAUUAAUUUAACUUCAUAAGACUUUUCCCUUAAAUGUAUAUAUAUAUCUCACAUAUAUUCACUUAAAGUCAUCAGAGUAGGGGAUUAUUACUUUCUCUAUGAACUUUAACCUCAGUGUGCACCAUUUCUAAUCUAAAAUUUUCUCCAUUCUAUUUAGAUUGGCCCAAACUCCCUAGCUAAAAAUUAACAAGAAGUUAUAUCCAAACGUGCCAAUGGUCCACACGCAGCCAUCCGUGAAAUUAUUGAUUUGGAUGAAAAACACAACUGGACCUAAAGGAAUUUUUUUUAAAUUUAUN
rnacentral:lncRNA from 1 species